CAGCUAUUCUUUCUUCUAAAUCCCUAAACCCCCAUUCGAUCUUCUUCGUCAAAAAUCCACUUCUCGCAAGCCGCCUCACCGGAAGGUGGGGAAACCCGGCCUUCCGGCUUCCGGAGUUCGAUUGAAGAGGGACGAAACUCCCGUGGGUAAGCGGAGUAGACCGAUCUCAGUCCGACAUCGUUUCUCAAGUCUCCGGUUCUCCUCUCCAAUAUCAAGUUAAGCUGAAUUUGUAUUCUAACACUAUAUGUCUCCGGUUCUCCUCUCCAAUAUCGCUUCAUAGCUGUGUUGGAUUCAUGAGAUCAGCUUCAGAUCCUUGCUUCGGAUUUGUAUUCUAACACUAUAUGAUUUUGGAUUUGGGGUUGUCCUUUUUGUAGUUCAGGUAUAUGUAUUGUUGUAUCACUUCAGAUUAGGUUAAGUCAUUGAUAGAUACAUUCUGUGUAAUUUUGUGACAUUCUGUGUAACCAUGCAUAUCUUAUGUUAUUCUUUAUGCUGUUUGUGCUUCCUCUUUCAUUAUUCAUUAGUAGAGUUAUUGAAAUUUUCAUAAUACAUAUGGAUAUAUUUAUUCAUCGAAAAUUUUGCACAGGAGGGAGAGACAAUGGCAGGAAAUGAAGUAGACAAACAAUUACCAAGUGUCAAAGCAUUGGAGCUCUAAUUUUGGUGCUAGAAAAGUAUCUGAUUCAUGGUGGGAGCUCUGGAUUCUACCAGAGGGAUGGGUUCACAUUUGAUGUUGGAUCAUUUGAAGUUGUUGGAACAUCUACUUGAGCUCAGUUCAUG
rnacentral:lncRNA from 1 species